AUUUAAAUAAUUUAAUUAAAAUAUUGAUUUGUGGGGUCAAAAAUAUGGGUUUCAUUUUAAGUA
rnacentral:tRNA from 1 species